AAAAACUUAUGACGUGUGAAUAUGAUGUGCGAAUUCUGCAAGUGUACGCAUCGAAUCAAGUAAUAAGUGAUGAGUGAGUAUCGUUCCCAAGAGGAUUGGAUGAGUGCUCUUUGUCUAAGUUAUCACAGUUGAACAUAAAAGAUAAAUGUAUCGAAUGUUGUUUAAUGAAAUUAAAAUGGGAUUAACACAUUAAAAGUGAGAAUAGUGAAGUCUACUAGCAGAGAUUACCAUUGCAACAAAUCAAACAAGAGUACUAAAGAC
rnacentral:lncRNA from 1 species